UGGGGAAUAUUGCACAAUGGGCGCAAGCCUGAUGCAGCCAUGCCGCGUGUGUGAAGAAGGCCUUCGGGUUGUAAAGCACUUUCAGCGGGGAGGAAGGCGAUAAGGUUAAUAACCUUGUCGAUUGACGUUACCCGCAGAAGAAGCACCGGCUAACUCCGUGCCAGCAGCCGCGGUAAUACGGAGGGUGCAAGCGUUAAUCGGAAUUACUGGGCGUAAAGCGCACGCAGGCGGUUUGUUAAGUCAGAUGUGAAAUCCCCGGGCUCAACCUGGGAACUGCAUCUGAUACUGGCAAGCUUGAGUCUCGUAGAGGGGGGUAGAAUUCCAGGUGUAGCGGUGAAAUGCGUAGAGAUCUGGAGGAGUACCGGUGGCGAAGGCGGCCCCCUGGACGAAGACUGACGCUCAGGUGCGAAAGCGUGGGGAGCAAACAGG
rnacentral:rRNA from 1 species